GAAAUGCGAUAAGUAAUGUGAAUUGCAGAAUUCAGUGAAUCAUCGAAUCUUUGAACGCACAUUGCGCCCGCCAGUAUUCUGGCGGGCAUGCCUGUUCGAGCGUCAUUACAACCCUCAGGCCCCCGGGCCUGGCGUUGGGGAUCGGCGGAAGCCCCCUGCGGGCACAACGCCGUCCCCCAAAUACAGUGGCGGUCCCGCCGCAGCUUCCAUUGCGUAGUAGCUAACACCUCGCAACUGGAGAGCGGCGCGGCCACGCCGUAAAACACCCAACUUCUGAAUGUUGACCUCGAAUCAGGGAGGAAUACCCGCUGAACUUAAGC
rnacentral:misc_RNA from 1 species